GGGGUUUCAAAGGCUGCCCAGCAGGGCUCUGGCCACAUUUUGACAGUUGGCCUGUAUAGCACCUGUCCCUCUCAUGUAGUUCUUAGGUGCAGUUUUCCAGAGGGGCUUCUGAGUGGGCCACCUAGUCCUUUUCUCUAGACCAGGCUGCCAUUUAAAUGCUUUUAAGGGGUCUUAAUUUCUUCUGAACAUCUGGGAAGAGAGGCAUCAGGACCCAGAUUGAUUUAGAGUUCAAGAAACUGAGAAAUUUGCUGCCUCUACUUAGUAACUGUCCAAUCUAGAUAUUGUCUUGCUCCAGAAGUUUGAUGCCCUACACUUAAAAGAAGAUACCUUCAUGGGAGGAAUGGAUAGCUGCUGUUAUUAGGCUAUCAUUUCUUUGUGGGAAAGUCAUAUGUCAAGCUAUUCAUUGUCAAUGUGAGUUGUCAGGUCCCUCUUCAGGCCAAUGUCUGGGGAAGGUAGAUGAGGGAAGUCAUAAGGAGCAUGCUUGAUAUAUCUGAGAAGGCUAGGAGAGCUAGUAAGAGAAUUCAAAACUAUAUCACCAUCCCCUAAUGGUCUUACCAGGUUCUCAGGCCUGAGGUGUUCACCUCUCUGAGGCUGGAAUUGAGCUUUUCCUAAAGUCCAACUCCAACCAGUAAAGUCCUAAGACUGGGGCUUCACCUAGUAGGACAUCAAUAACUGUGGAAACAUCUUGAUACCCUUGUUUUCUCUGUUAUAGGUCUCCUACCAACAAUUCCCAGAAGCCAUGACAUGUCCCUGCAGUUGGUGGUCUUCCUGGGCCCAGAAAUGCCUGGAAAGGAAGGGAGAGGUCAAUGCAGGGCUAGUAUAGAGACCAAAAAGCCAACAGUCCAGUUACUUUUCCAAAAAAGAAACUUUUUUGCUAUUUUCCAAACCUGAUUGACUGCUUUCUUCUAAGCAUAAUAGGAGGACAGAGGACAUUACCUAUAGUUAUGUACAAUGUUGUUACUUCCCUCCCUAUAUUUAACAUUGUUGUUGAUGCUACCCUUUCCUCAAGUGUACCACGACUCCUCCUGCAUCAAGUAUCAAUCAGAGGAAACCACAAAACCAUAAAUCACAAUUGGAUUUUUGCUGCCAGUCAUACUCCCCUCCUCAGGUUUUGCCUUCAGAAUUCUUGCUCUGGCCCUCUGACUGAGACAGCCUCCACUCUGGGUAAUGUACCCUGAGAAGUGUCGAGUCAGCUUCUCUGAGAAAGGAUGUUUUUGAGGCAUGUGUACAUAAAUGCCUCACAAUUCUCCAAGCAAUUUGGUAUGCCUUGACUAAUCACCUCUUUACCAAAAUGCAGUUUGCAUUUUCUAUGGUGAUCCAAUCAAACAAAGAUGGGAAGCUGUGUUCAACUUCUCAUCCUUUUGUUUGGUCCCUCCAACAUCUGGGUGUCUUUAUUUGUAUCAUUCUGCUUCUCCUGCUCUUUUGUUCACAGAGGAGACUGGACAAGCAGGGUGAGGAAUGAAAAGAGAAGCCAUCCUCUGACACCCCACAGAUGUCUUGCUUAGGGACUCAGAAGGAAGCAGGAGAAACAUGUCACCCAUGUCACUUUUCCAGUAUUUCAGGAAUUUAAGUUUAAAAAUUUUCUCCCCACAUCUCUUCCACUUACCAUCACACACACAAAAAAUGAAGCAUAGCACACCUCUCUCUUACCAGCCCCCCUCACCACACACACAAACACACACACACAGAGACACACACACACACACACACACACACACACACACUCUUUGACCCUCAGGUGGAAAUAUCAAGGAAGAAUGCUGUGCAGGAGACCCUAUGCCACUUGUCUAGACAUCCUUUGUGUUGUUAUGACCACAGCCACCUUCUCCAUUUCUGAGCUGCUCCCACGAGAGACCCUUUUCAUCAACUCCUUGGUACAUGAUGCUAAAACUGGAAUGCCCUAUUAGUAUAUAAUGAAGGACAAUCCCCCAACUGUUUACUUGAUUUUCUCUCCUUUACCAUGCCUGUCUUGAGUACACAUGGACAUCUCUCACUUAGACCUUUUCUCCCAAGUGUCAUCCUUCAGCACUAAUGCCUUAGAUCCACAAGUCACCUGUGAGUUCUUUCCCUAUUUUGGCCAUGAAUUCAUGCAAUACCUCUUCUUGGUUCUACCUCACUGGUUAAGCCUUUCCAUUCUACUUUCUGAAAUCCAUAAUAAUGAGCAAAACUCCACAUUUUUCUUCUUUGUCUUGCACAUUUGCUCUGCUUUUGCAUUGAGAAUCAAUUCUGAGCUCCAAUCACACACUUCCUUAGUUUCUGUUAACAAGAACGUGAGUUCAGGCAACAGUCCUUGAAGAAAUAGCUUCUCAGAGACUUAGGCCUACAUUUCUUUUCUCUUUCUAUUAGACAUUUUCUUUAUUUACAUGUCAUAUGAUAUCUCCUUUCCCAGUUUCUCUUCUGAAAAAAAUAAAAAAAAAUAAAAAACAAAAACAAGAAAACCCCUGUUCUCUCUCCCCCCUGCAUACCAAUCCACCCUCUCCCACUUCCUGGCCAGGCCUACAUUUCUUAAAAGGAGAAUUAUUGACAAUUCCAGACCAUGGGCAAACAAAAGAUGUACAAAGUGCUUCCAAAGCUGUGAAGUAUAUAUAAAUGGUUAUUACUCUACAUUUUAUGGAGUGAGAUGGACACACUAUUCAAGCUUUGUUUAUCCUGGAGGCUGGAGGCUUAGUACUGUGUGUGAGACUGGACUGGUUGCUACCUGUGGUAGAUAGAUAAAGAUAUUCAUGAAGGCCACAGCACUUUCCCUAGUACACACACUUCUGUGAUCCUUUUUUUUUUUUUUUUUUUUUUUUUUUUUUUUUUUUUUUUUUUAGCAGUUCACACUGUUUACAUAGCUCCAAAUCAAGGAUUGCAAAUAAAUAUCUAGGUUCCAUUUAGAAUAGUGGGCUUCAUAAACUUUUUUAGUUUUUCACUUUUGUUGUAGAAUCAUAAUUGAAUGAUGGAAAAAUCCAUUCCUGAAGAGCUUUAUAAAAGGACAGAACCUAAAUCAGUUCUCUGAAUCACAUACAUAGAACUUAUUGAUCCUUUCUCCUGGCCAGUUUUAGUCUCUCUACAGAAUAUCUAGAUGUUUUGUGCUACUUGCCCUUUGCAUAGUUGGUCAGCCCAAGCUAGCAAAUCAUUGCAGAUCAUCCUACUUCAACGUGAGCAUCUCUGAAUGGGUCUAUCUACUAUGGCUGACCCAGUAACCUUCAUACUCAUUUUGCUGAGAGGAGAGGCUAGAGGGAAUGAAAUGGACAUGGUGAAGCCUAUUUCCUGUGUCAAACUCUAUAUGGACUUCACUGACUUCACCCUGUGGCGUUUUGUGUGGUUAUUCAUUUUUUAUGUUAGAGACACUGAGGUUUAGGUGCCAAAGGGAGAGCCUGCUUAGGAGAAACAGUGCUGCCUUAUUCAGUUCAUUGUUGUCUUGACACCAGAGGCACAGGUUUCCCCUAGACUAUCAGAGACUGAGAAGUCAGUGUUGUCCCUAUAUUCCUCUAUGACACUCUCACUCAUUACAUUGACACAUAUCAUAGGAGCCUUUGCUCAGCUAACAUGGGUUUUACCCUUAUCAUGCCUCAGGUCAUUGCAUGGGAUUGAAUUAUGAUCUCACGAACAAGGAACAGUCUCCCAAGAGAAGAUCAUUAAUCGAAAAUCAACAGACACAAGAAAUUUCUCAAAUACUGUCAACAUUGAUAAUAUAAAAUUGCCAAAUUCAUUUAAUAUUGGAUAUUAAUAAAGAGUUGAUGUUUGACAAACACUGAACCUUUUGAUUCUAUUGUUACCUACUAAAGUACAUCCUGUGCCAUACUUUUAAUUUCAUAAUUAAACAACACUCAUUAUGUGAAGUGAAAAUGCUCUUCAAACCACCUGCAUUUUUAGAAGGAAGGGAGCCACAUCUUUCUCGUUUUGUCAUCUGCUACCUGACAGGAUGAAUCAGAUUUUUCUUUUUCUUUAGAUUUGCAUCAGCUUUAAAUAUCUUUUUAUCUACAUUAUGUAGACUGUCAAAACUAGCUUUUGGAUUAUUUUAACACUUGGUGAGAUCACAAGGCUUCCCUGAAAAUAUAUCCUAUCUUGACAAGGCAUUCAACCUUAAGAGAAGUUUAAUUAACAAAUGCCAGAAUGUGUUUCCUCUAAAAAAAUGUGACACAUUAACGAUUUGUUCCUAUCUCCUGAGUAUAACAACAACUUAGCCCUUAAAAAGGAGAGAUGUUGCACCUUCACAUGGCUCAUGCUAACCACAAUUCAGGGUUUUUUUCAAAGGAAAGUACAUUGAAGCAAAUAUAUAAAAUAAAAUUUCAAGCAUCCUGCUGCUUUGGUUCAAUUUUUAGAUAUGCAUUAUUACUUACAAAUACUAUCGUAGAUGCACAUUCUUUAUAGGAACUUGUAGCCACAGAGCCCAGCUUAGGACACAGUUUGGCACUGUUGCACUUUUGUCCUUUGACUCAUGUGCCCCUUAGAUGAUAAUGGACUUAGCCCACAGAAAGCACAUGCAGAAACAUGCCAAGACCACUAAGAACCAUGAAAACAGCCUUUUUUUUUAUAGUUUGCAUGUUUCUCUAAAUGACACAUGAUAAAAAGGAAAUACUAGGAGGAAAGGACAAAUUGGCCAAGUCCUGUGUCAUUUUUUCUUCCCUCUCCUCCUGUUUCCUUUUCUCUGUUCAUGGGGGACUGACGGCAGUUCAUUUUACAAAGGACUAAGGCACCACCACCUCCUCCCUUCAAUGGAAUCAUCUUCCACAGUUUUAUUUUCAGUGGUUUAUCAGUAUUUCACAUGUCACAUCUACCUAAAUGCCUAGUGCUUACUUAUUUCCAUUACUUCCCUGUUAUAAAAAUGAUAGGUUGAUAAUCUGUGAAAAUGUACCAGGAGAGACACAGCUCUCCUUGUUUGCCAUAGACUUGAGUUCUGAAAGUGAAAUUGCAGAGUGAAAAGGCCACAUGAAGUUUUUGGAUAUUGUAACAGAUUUCCAAGUUGCCCUCAAGAUAAGAUUCUUUUCCCAAUUUACACCAUCAGCAACAACAUAUAGGAAUGUGGGUUCCUCUCUGUACCCUUGCCAACACCCUGUGUGUUUGAACUGUUUUCAAUAUUAAUCUGCUGGUAUUUUAUUACUCUUUGUAUUUUAAAAUGCCUUUUCCUCCUUAUAUAUUUGGUGAGAAUACAGAUUGUGAAACUGCCAGUCUUUGUACUAAAAUUCCUUCCUCUAGAGGCUUAGAAAGCCCUACCCUAAAGAAAUGCUGUCCUGGCCCUAUAAUUUUCAGUAUCUCAGUCAAUCAACACUGGCCCUUUGUAGGCCUCAGGCCUAUAAGGCUGUCUGCCAGUCCUACAGAGAACAUUAAUGUAUUAGUCAUUUUCUUUUUUACUCCCUUUGGCGACCUGUGCCUUUGGGACGUCUUUGAUGCUUUUGGUAUGGCUAGAGUUAUUGAUCAGUGGACCAAACGGGAGGGCUGAUAAUGCAAGAGAGAGGUUUACCUGAGAUAGUAGCCAAUGUGGACAGUAUCUCCUUGAGCAUGCUAUUGUCUCUACGUCUUCAUGUUGUGACAAAAUGGAGCCUGCAGAAAGGCUCUUGAUCUUUGCUAGAUAAUCCUGGUAAGCUGAUACCUUGUGAAGCAAAGUCAGCAUUAGGAGGCAUACUAGAAGUUCUAGCAGACUCAUUUAACUCCAGUCACUUCAGUCUGCCUGUUUACAAAGUGUCAUUAUAAGAGUAUAUUGAAAACUGGUAUCUUCUGACCACCAGAGCAUCACAUCUUGGUUCUUUUGGGCAAAUGGCUACUGGGAUCCUUGUGGCUGGGUGAGACCCUGUGACUACCUCUAUGCUACUAUUGUGAGAAAAGUUGACAGGAAUCACUGAUGGCCUGAAUCACUUAUCUGUGCCAGUCCUCUGCUUCCCUCUCUGGUACAAUGCCAUGCAGCAUACGAGGUCCCUAGGUAGGGAGGAUAUGGUGCUGUGGCUGCAAAGACUCAUAAGAGCUGGAGCACAGGACAGACCUGAACUUAAGGUUCUGCUCUGAGGAGCUGGGAUGUGUCAGCUCCUUAGUCCACAGUAAUCUAGCUCCUUUUGACUAAUAUUUGGAAGGAGAGUUUUCCUUGUGGGUGUUUAAUCACUAAACGGCUUAUAAAAGAAAGUUAAAAUGUGAAAACAUAUCAAACAUACUUGCCAUGUGGAAUCUCCCUUACUCCAAAUAAAAUUUGAAAUACUAAAUGAAAAGGUGAAAGGCCAAGAGUGCUAACACAUCACUGGCUCUUGCUUUGUAGCCAAUGGAGGGCUAGGUAAAUUGCCUUUGACUUCUCUCCUAGUGCAGCAGCCACUGUAGAUGGGUUUGGCAUUUCUACUUAAAGGGAGGACUGAGACACCCAUGGUGAUCUAGAUGUAGCAAACCUGGGAUGUCUCACUAUACUUCCCCUAUCAUUUACCCUUACUAUGAUUGUUUAUGCACCAGAUUGAAAGGCACGUGUAACCCUUCAUUAUUUUUUGGAGGCAAAAGAAAAAUCAGAUCUAGAGUCAUUGUGUACUACAAAGGCUGGGAUUAUAAACUCUGUAAUGAGUUAAUUACAGCUUUACUAAAAUAAGAUGUCCCUAAAGCCUUGCACCACACCCCCGUUUUCCAUGUGGUGCCCUCACCUCAGAGACACUCUGUACUCCUUGUCCAGUGAAGCCCUUUGUCUGAAAUCUCUGACUGACCCCUUUCCAAGUAGGUGAAAUAGCUCAGUAUUUUCAAGCAGGUGCCUAAUGCAUCCUACUACAUAGAGUAGCACCCUCAGAGCACCUCUUUUGAAAUGGACAGCCACGUUACCAUGCUAAAACUUCACUACACUUCCAGCAAUGAAAAAGCAGAAGGAGAGGGAGGGGAAGGAAAAAGGGAGAAGGAGAGAAUGGGUCAUUGAAGCUGAGGUCACCUGUUUGUGGUAAUAGCUGUUAUGGAUUCUUUCUGCCUGUGGCUCCACACUGUUAUCUCUUGGACUCAUUUGACUGCUCUGCCAAGAGCAGAUAGAGCACAUCAGGAGUAUGAUCUAGGGUUCUAUCCAGUCAGUCUGCUUAUCCCUCCAAGUAUGUCCUAGUUAAUCAUUCUUCAGCCUAAGCCUUCUUAAUACUCAGAGUGGUAGUUUGAAUAUACACAUAUCUCUUUGAAGGAUUGUCUUUUUAUCUUUAGGAAUUAUACUGGCUAUUUAUGUGACUUAGUUAUCAUUCCCAGGGGGUAGAAAAUUGGAGAAUUUUCUUCUUCCAGGACUUUUUUCCAUUAGUGAGACGAACUUCCAAAUUCCUGAUGAGACUCUCCUGUCCAGUUGCUCCAACUCUGGUGGAACACUUGGAAAGAGGUGAAUCAGUGAGGAGGAAUCACUUUGUAUCCAGACUGAAGGUCACUCAAGGGUCAACAUUACCUCUAGUUCACAUGACCGUGUAAAUAGACUUAACUUUUCACACCACACCCCACAUGGCCAGUUUUAUUUUGCUUCUUUCCAGUCCCUUGAAAGCAGAGCCCUCAUUCUGUCUGACUUUUCCUGUCCCUUUCCCCACUGCAUUUGCAGAAUGCUGAACACACUGGGGAGCAAGUGAUCAAUACUGGCUGAAUGGAAUCAUUUACAGGCCUGUUCUCAGACACCACCCUAGGUGAAAUCUCCUCUGUGGGGCAAGCAGCAUACAGGCUUUGUUGUUAACCUGUGGUAUCCUUUGAAGUCCUGAGACAUUCAUGGUAUAGAAGACUCAAGCCUAUCACAUACAAAAGUGUUCGGACCAUACCAGAAUUCGAUAAUGUGGGUCACAGACCCCUAUAUAUAGCAUGGAAGUAGUGUCCUUUGCAUUCCCUCCUCCAACUAUAGAAAACACCUUGCAAAAUUUUAUCUGGUGAAAACUAUCUCUUAUAAAGCAUCAUUGGGUUCCAUCUUCAUGUUCUCAAAACUAAGAAGCGAUGUAAUUUGUUUAAUGGCUGCCAUGGUUUGUUCAUUUUCCUCUUGUUUUUCUCUUCUGUUUUAUUUUACUCCCAUCUCAGAGUUAAUUUUUGCUCUACAUUUCUGAGUUUUGUAAACCUAGAGAUUUUAUUUUGUUUUUCAAUUUUAAAUAAAAGAGGCUCUACAAGUUUUCCCUACCCUCCAGCCUUGACUAUCAAUUUAUUGUUUUUCUGGAAGGUUCACACGCAGAACUCUGAUUGUGUUCCUUCUUCAGUUCUCUUUCUGGUAAUUGUGACUGAAUUCCUUGUCUUUAAUAUGCCAUAUACUCUCCACCUGGCAAAAGAUUCAGACAGAUCCAGAUAAUAAAUACCCCAUAGACAUACAGACAGAGAAACCCCUGUAAUUGCUUUCAUAAUGACUCUCCGACAUCAGAAGCAGGCAAAUAAUGGUAUUUAACACUGUUUCCAUUCUUUAUCUGAAAUGUAAUUUUACAGAGUUAUUGUCAGGCAGUGUGGUGAAUGUACAAGCACAACUGUCAUAUUCGGCUCAUAUUAAUUAGCUGCCCACGAGAGGGCCAGGCGAGUAGAGGCAAAGUUCUCUUCAUUUCAGAUGGUCUGAUAUUCAGGCAGAACCAUAAGUACAAUAGCUUGAUUAACAUAGUUGCUUAGAUCAGGUUUUCCCUGGGAGUAUGUCAAUUGGCAUUUUGAAGAAUCAAUUAAUUAGCACUCCAAAUAAUCCAUUCUUGGGUUAAUGAAAGUGUUUUUGUACAGCUGCAGAAAAAAAAAAAUUACACGAAGAAAAACUAACCCUUUCCAAAGAAGCCAGGAGGGAAAUUUAUCUCAGAAGCCUGCAUCAUCCAUUUCAAAAUUAGUACUUGAUUGUCCCCAAAAGUGUGUGCUUCCUUUUAAAGCUAGGGGGUUGGCUUGCACAAUUUUAGGCACAAUGUGCCUUGGAUGGGCAUCUGACUUGGAGGAAGGCAUAUAAAAGGGAGCCAUGGAGGUGUGGAAGUUAGAACUUAAAUUCUCACUGUUUUGUCUUAUAAUCAUGUUAAUUAGGGUAAGUCAAGGCCAGCAUUUUGCAUAUCGUUAUCCACAAUUUUAAACAAUUACUCUUUGAAGGUGGUAGUACAUUGUUCAUGGUUUAUUUUUGUUUUGAUUUUUGUUUUUUUAACAUCACUAUCACAUAUAUAUUCUUGCUUCUUGGAGUUUCAGAUUUAAUUCCCAGAUAAAAGACAGCCAAGACUAUCCCUUUUGGAGGUACAUAUUUUAAAACAAGGUGUAAAUGAUCAGAAAGUUUAAAAUCAGAAAGUCCUGAAAUCCAAGGCCUGAGUUUGGUCCUCAUAGGGAUACUUUGGUCUCAUCAAAUCUUCCUCCUGCAUAAAGAGUGGUUAGAAUUUUCUUUCCAAUUUUUCUCUUGGGAUUCAAAUGUUAUAGAACUCAUGUUUAGGGAUGCUUUUUGUUUCUCUAAAGUGAUCUUAAAUGAAUAAAAGAGUUUACCAUACCAUUCAUCUUACUCUACUUACCAAAACUUGGCUCAAAGUAUCUAGUAUUUACACAGUUCCUCCUUGAGAAGUGCCAACAUUUUAAUAAGGGAUAUUAAUGUAUCUCUGUAUUAAAUCAUUUUUAACCCUAUUCAUGAGUUUUACUACUUUAUACAUUGAUGAGAAAGCCCAUAGGAAAGGAAGGUAUAAAAUAUGUGUCUUGAAGUCCCAGUGUUAUCUAAAAUUUGUAUGGAAUUAAACUGCAAAAUUUUCACUUGUAUGAACUGUUUUCAUAUAAAUAUGCAUUAAAAUAAAUGAGUCUCAUGAUUUCCUGUCAAUUUCUAAUUGAGUCUACCUGAUAAUGUGUGUUAAUGAUUGGUGUAUGUAGAAAAUCAAAUCAGUACACUGAAAGGAAGUCAACCUGAGGGUUCUGCUCUCAUGACUUACUCUCAUUCCUUUUAUUUCACUUAAGAAGAGAAUAAAUCUUUAUAGAGUUUUGAUGGUGCUGAAACACAUUUUCCUGCCUUUUCAUUUGUGGGUAAAAGUUGAUUAGUUACAUAGUAACACUGCAUCUUCAAGCACUGCAUGGAUCUAACAUACACCACAAUCCCUGCUAUCAGGGGAAAAGGUAAAAACACACACAGUUAAAUAUAAAGAGGCCACUGGUCUCUUUCUAGGAAGAUGAGAAAUGCCCCCAAACUUAGAGCAGUUUUUUUUUCUGGUUUAAUGAGUCCAGCAAUGUUUCCAUGCUGACAGAGCCAAGUCACAGAGGAAUAUGCCUUCCCCUUUCCUGGCCCUCUUUCUUCAAGGUGACUGACUGAUGGAGAGGGCUUGUUUCCUACACAUCUGAAUGAACGCCAGCAAGAUUCAGCAUCUCCUGCUUAGUGCUCGUCCUUUAUUUUUAGAUCCUGGUGGCAAUGUAAUGUGGCAAAGUUUGGUUGUCACUGCUGGCUGUGGACUUCAGCCAGGAACGAGAUCUAUUGCUUAUUUUGCUAAUCAGCUCCUUCCAUAUCUGCAUGCUCAUUUUCUGAUAGCUGAUGAGGCGACAAGGUCAUUGGACGUACAAGUACUUAUUUAAAAACAGACAUGAGCGUGAGAUAGAGGUUAGUUGGGUCUAUCAGAGCUGUCAAUCAAUUAAUGAAAAUUAUUGAGCAAGGACACUGUGGGGGAAGCGAACAGAAGGAAGGAAAAUGACCAUGGAGACACAACAUAGGGAAAACGACAGAACUGACUGAAUGUGCUCACGUGAGUGCUAAAAACAGACAUGCUCACAUCCCAAGUGAGAGACAGCGCUGCGAAACUGACUGCAGCCUCUGACUCCAGAGGCUCAAAGGCUGACAGCACAGGGUUUUGCCCAAAGGUGUACCCUGAACAAUGUCUUUGCUCGGGCAUGGAGGACAGAGGCAUGGUCCUGAUGAGUAUGAUUAAUGUGCCCAGGACCUGUGGCCAAAUUGCCCAGUACUUUAAAGCACUAUUAUCCAGACUUAAAUCCUUGGUUUAUGUAGGCUAAAUGAGUACAAACAGCUCCCAAAUUCAGGGAGAGAAAAUAUCUGGUCUCUAAUUGUUAUAGUAUGGCAGACAAGGCAAGCCAAAGAGAGCAUUACUAGCAGAGGCUCAGAAAUGAUGUCCAAAGCACCAGUCGAUCACAGCAGCCCACUGAGUGCUGGCUGCAGAGGGGCCCAUGCCAUUAUCAGUGCAGAAAAUCAUUGUAACUCGGUUUUUACCAGGUAUGGACGGUGGGGGGGGGGGAUAGAAGAUAUACAAAUGAACAUGAGAAAGGUAGGGGUGUGGAGGGGAGAGAGAGAGAAAGAGAGAGAGAGAGAGAGAGAGAGAGAGAGGAGAGGAAUGAGGAACUAGGGGAGAAGAAUCACCAAUGCUUGUGUGAAUGAAAGAUAGGGAGGGAGGCAAAUGAAAGACUGCAAAGUCGGAAGCAGGGAGAUACUGACACCAAAUCUCUGCAAAGCGUUCAAAAUUCUCCAGCUGCCACGCUUUUAAUUUGCUACCAUUCUAAUUAAAAUGCAAAUUAAAUUUAUAAUUAGCAUCAGCGCUUUCUAAAGAAACCUCCUUGUGCGCUGCACAAACAUAUGGGACGAUACUGUAGUGUAAAGUUUGUAAAACAGAAGUAAUAGCAGAAAGUGUUGAGGGGGAUGAGGGGGAGGAUUCUUUCUCUCUCCCUCUGUCUCUCUCUUUCUCUCUCCCUCCCUUCCUCCAUCCCUCUCUUUCAUCCCCCCCCCCCCUUAUGUCUGCUAUUCUUGGGAAGUACAUUUUAUGCAGCCACAGGAUGAUUUGUGUGAUGGUAAGGGCUCUGCUUACAGGAGUGUGGAAGUUGUGAGCCAAUGUCUCCUUGCAACAAAAGGAUUGCUGAAUGUGGAGGAUUGGCUGGACUGUGUUUUUGUGUUGAAUCAGGUGUCAAGGGUUAGCCUGCAUGUCAGAAGGAUUGUAUAGGAGAUGCCAAAAGGCAAGGGGGGUCAAAGCUCCUAAUCAAAAAGCCUAUGGCUAAAAUUAACCGCUGUUUGCUUCCAGAUAAUUAAUUUAAAAAUUGAUGGGGAACAAAGUACCAAAAUUACCUCAUGAUUUGAACACCUAUCCUGUUUUCAAGAUAAACUACUCAGAUUUGCUGCAGAUUCUGGGAGUAGGGUGGGGUGGGGUGGAGUGAAGUGGAGGGUAAGGCUAAGCAGAUGAGGAGUGGACAUCGACUUAACUUGCAUUAUGUAGAAACACUCACCACUGAGCAUAGUGGUUUUACCCCUCAGUGUUUUCUGCACAUAAAUAGAACACUGGUGUGGGCCACUUCUUUUGAGCAUUUGCUGAGGGAGGGAGGCUCAUGGGGGGCAGUGUUCCCUCCCCGCAGCUAUAGUAGGUGAAGGAUGAUUGCAUACAGCCCAAUCUCUUAUAUUUGUCAUGUUUUAGUUCAGGGGAAUCAUUAUGAAUUAGAAGUGAAAUUGGCAGUCCACGCCAUCACUGGGCUGUACUUUCCAGUGAAGGGUCUGGGUCCUACCUACACCUCGGCGUCUUUUAAUAUUCCAGAGAUUCUUCUUUAUCUAUUAACCAGACUCUCCAUCAGAUAUUUUAAAAUUUGAAUGUAACAGGAAUGAAUAUUUCAUAGAUGUGUGUUAAGCUGUUAUUAAACUAUAAUGUAAAGCAGGAUUGUAGGAAUAUUUUUAUAUGUCAAAAAGUCAAUUAAAAUGAUAAGCCUGUAAUAUCACUAUUGUGGUGCUGUGCAGACAUUCAUUUCAUAUGCAGGAGAGGUCCCUACCGCCCAGCAUUUGGGUGUGAGGCAGGACUGUUACAUAUUCAGAGGCCUGUGUACUUCAAUUUCAUUAGUAACACUUAGGGCCGUUUUCAGCAGAGAUUAAAUGGAGAGCUGUGCAGGGAUAAAGCCUCCAACUUGAGUUUUAUUUAGUUCUACAAAAACAACAUUAGGUAUACACAAAGGUAGGUGCUCACCCAAAUGCACCAUGGAUUUCUCUGGAAGGAAAUGUCAAUCUUUAAGAAAAAGGUGUGUCUAAUGAAAUGUUAUAGCAAGGCUUUGUUUUGCUUAAAAGUAACUGUGUUGCCCAUUGGGAAAGCAGUCCCAUGGCGUUGAAAUUCAGAAAGCAGAGGAAGAAAUUAAAACUGUUGUGAGGUGCUUUGGAGUGCAAAGGCUUCCUCAUUGUAGCCUUAAGAUUAAAGCCACAUACGGUACAAGGAAGAAAUUUUUUCUCUACUGCUUGCAUACUUAGGAAGAAGUACGUAGAAACAUAAUUGGUAGAUGAAAUGUUGGAAUGCCUUAUAAAAACGCGCAUGUGUGUUUAAACUUUGCCUGCCCAUCAAUUCUUCCCCAGGCAAUGGCCAUUGUCAAAAACUGGAUGUGAAAAGAUGAUGUGCUUGACAAGUUUGACAUAACUCAAUUAAUCAAGACCUCAGUUGAGAAAGGGGGAUAACUCUGUCAAUACGGCAAGGGACUGCGUCUUCCUAUGUUCACAGAGUAAAAGUUCCUUAUUUUGUCCUGAUGGCCAAGGGGAACUCAGGCCCCCUAUGUAAGCCUUCUGUGCUACUAACAAAAGAUGGAAAAGCCACUGCAUAAAAGCAUUUCUUUGUUUAAUUUCUAAUUGUUGUCCUUCUUGUAUUCAGAAAAUGAAGUCACCUUUGUCGUGGUUUCAUGAACCGCUGGGUAAUCAAAAUUAUUAUGCUGCCACCUGUUGUCUGUUAAUUAUUCUGAGGAGAUACUCAUAAAUCAUAACACUGGACAAUAAAUCAAACUGUCAGUCCCUAGGUCAAAGGUUACCCAUGAAAAGUUAUAGGUCACCAGAAGGGUGUGAAAGAGCAGGGUUUCAGAGCAUCACUCAUUGUCAAGCACCAGUGGGAGAUGUACCACCCAGACAAAGGGAAAACUGAAGUUCAGAAUUCCAGCCAGAGGACAGGAGGCAUCCACCCAACAUAGUCCAUCCAUUCAUGAAGCAGUAAGAUAGUCUUGUCUGAACUCGAGAGAGUUAGCUGUUCUCUUGAGAUCCAGCUGCAAUCAGAGUUCCCUUUGGAAAAGUGUAGAGUCGUGGGCUGCAGGAUACUGUCUCCCUCUUCUUAUAUUUGCUGUAGAUGAUGCAGACUUUUUCAUUUUACUACAUUAUUCAUCAAGACAAUCAGAACAUGUCAAACUGUGGUUGAUUAGAGGAUACUUUAGAAUGUCUUACUUCCCAAAUUAAUUUGGAUUGGAAUAAGUUUUCCUUGCGGUAUGACAAGAGCUUGAACCACAUGUAAGAGUUUAAACUCAUUUAUUUUCCAAUCCCCUAUAUUUAAAAUAGCAUCAUCCCUUCAGAGUGUGGUGCAUGAUGAUGGAUAUUCUUGGUUUAAAACCUGGCUAGGGGUAAAUUAUUUCUGAUGUGGUGGGAGCAACUUAAGGAUAAAGCAUAAUAGAGACAUAAUGGCAAGGCAGCUGGGACACAGAGCUAAUGUUCCAAUCAGGGGCACAUGCCUGCUGUUUGAAUUCGGGUGUAUAAAAUGGAUGCCAUACUUGCAUUAAAGAUUUCUCUCUAAAAUGUUCAUUUUGAGGGCUUUCUGCUAAUUUAGUUUCUUCUAGGAGAGUCAUAAGAAAGAUGAGUGCUUUUACAGUGUCAACUUAUGCCCUAUUGCUUUUUAUUUUCCUUGAACACACACACAACACAGUUUGUAUUCAAACUAUAGAUGUCAGAACAGACACUCACAAAGACUGUCUGGAGAGACAUAGUCUCCUCCAGCAUCUUCCUCAGCACUGAAAAAUUGUGAAUAGCCCAUUUUGGAUGAAAGCAAGUCAGUUUUAGAAUGUAAAUGGUUUGUCAGGGUUCAGAGGAGGUCUAAGUUCAUUGAUUGACUCAAACUUAACCAUGCCUUCAAAUUUAUUUGCAUGGAUCAGAGAGUUUAAUUCUAAACUCGCAACAACAUGCCUUGUGGGCACUGAAGCCACCAGGGUUUUCAGCAGCUCUCUACCACAAUUCUACUUAAAAUGUCUUAAGGUAAAAGUCAUAAAUUCAUAAAUUCUCUUCUUCCAAAUGGAACAUGGUAGAGUUUUUCUGAUUAGUUUUGAAUGUUCAAAAUGGGAACAUUUAAAAUGUGAUUCCAGUUGGUUGAAACAGAAUGUCUAGGUAGAGAAGAUGGUAGCUUUUCACAUAUGGGAUGUGGAUGCUUUUAGAACUUGAUAGAAGGUAUGUUCUAUGUUAGGUUCAGGGUGCAGACCCAGAACAACAUGAGCUCUUCCUGGAGCACUGAGUCCAGGAGUUGGUAUAAUGUCAGGUCAUUGAGAAAAGCCUAGGCUGAUCAACUUUCUUUUCCAGGAAGUGUAGGAGUCUAGGGUUUUGGUCACCCUCUGUGAUAACAGUAUAAUCAGAAAAAAAAAAAAAAAAAAAAAAAAAAAACAGGGCUCAAGCCUAACUUUAGAAGUCUUGAACAAUAGAGAAGUGAGGGUUUGCUAUAGAUUCAACUUCCCCAUGUUGAAAUCCUAAGUACCUAAGAGUGCAACUUGUCUUCAAGAAUUUUCUUGGGAAUGUUUAAAACUUGUUUAGACUGGUUGGCUUUAUCCAAGGUUCUGAAAUCCUAUAAUGACACUCAGACAGCAAGGUUGUGCCUGGUGUUUGUUGGUGUGUAUGAAAGAGAUCACUAGGACACAACACAAAGGGAGAGCUCUGCUAGCCAAGGCUCCAAGCCUCAGGAGAAACACACUGCUGGCACCUUGAUCUUGGACUUCUGGUCUCCAGUUCUUGAACCAACAAAUUCCAUUUGUUCAAUGAAUUCUGUCUGUUGGAAUUCAUUUGGGAAGCCAUUGAAAAAUAAUGUGACUCCUCUCUACACAAGUAUUUGUAUUCCUGUGUGUAAAUAUCCAUAGAGAAAGGAAGUUCUGUUGGCAAGUGAGAACGGUGUUGAAAAUCCAUGUUGCCUUUCCCUUUGGGUGAACCACUGUUGUGACCAACGAGUCACCAGCAGGGGGAACGGGGAACAAGUGGGAGAGAGAAUCUUAGCUAGAAAAUUGUUGCUGGAGAGGUCACCAUACCUGCUGCUUUAGACAGGGGCCUCUCAACCUCCAGGUGCACACAUAGGAUUACCCAUACCUUUCACCUGCUCAUUCCUAGUUGGCCUGUUUGGCCACUCACAUGUCAAGCAUACUACCAUCCCAGCCUCCAAUAUUCUCCUCCCACUUAUCAUAAAACUUACUCAGCAAUCAGAACUAAAGUCUUGCUUCCAAUUUAGCUCUCUGUCCCUUUCUUGAUUUAUUUUUCUUAACAGCCCUAUCUGAAACUGCAGAUGACUGUAUAAAACUCAGUGCACACAAAUGCAAAGUAGGCCAGUUUUAGAAAGACAUCAUUCACCAAUGGAUACCAUCUUUUAGAGAGGAGAUAACACAACCAGCAAGUACUUCAAGCAAAGUGCUCACAACCUCUGUCACUAUGGAUGAGAUACCCUGCUAAGGGGUAUCUAUCCAGAAGAUAACGGGUUUGUCAAUGAGCCUGUCUGGGAGACUUAGACUUUUUUUACAUGUGCCUGUCAAAGUGUCAUUUGCUUAUUUUCUUUUAAUUGGAAUACAAUAUCAUUUUAUAUCAUCUUGCUAAAACAGGCAAACAUAAAGAAAUCUAUAGCUGUCAAUAAAAGUGAAAAAUUAUUGCAGAUUUCUGUGGUCUUCUCUCAGAGGCCUAAGAAACAAUAGAUGUGGUUUAGCUUCAGUACCACUGGCCCAGGUUUCCAUGAACAUUUUACUUGGUAAUAUUCAGAUCCAUACCUCUGCUGCAGAGCCAAGAGUGUUGUGAAUAGUUAGUUCCUAUCCACACCAGCACCCCUCACCAAUUUGAUUGCUAACUGAUAAGGACACUCACUGUUGCAGGAUAGUCAUUGCUAUUGUAAAACUUUCGCAUACUUAAAUUGAGGCUUAUGAUUUUUUUUCAAGUUCUUUAAAAAAAGAUGGAAAAGCCCCUCUACCAAGGAGUAUAUUACCAAGACAACUUGGUGACACAUCAUAAUGGUUCUGUGGCUCAGUUUUAUUGCAACAAUUAAUGGAACAGUACUAGUAUUUCCUCAAUGUUUGUUUUCGUAAUGCCUGCUAAUAAAGUUUUAUUGAAUUA